UACGUAGGGUGCAAGCGUUAAUCGGAAUUACUGGGCGUAAAGCGUGCGCAGGCGGUCUAUUAAGACAGGUGUGAAAUCCCCGGGCUUAACCUGGGAACUGCGCUUGUAACUGAUAGGCUUGAGUGUGGCAGAGGGGGGUGGAAUUCCAGGUGUAGCAGUGAAAUGCGUAGAUAUCGAGAGGAACACCUGCGGCGAAGGCGGGUUGCUGGGCUGACACUGACGCUGAGGCGCGAAAGCCAGGGGAGCGAACGGG
rnacentral:rRNA from 1 species